rnacentral:rRNA from 1 species
UACGUAGGUGGCAAGCGUUGUCCGGAAUUAUUGGGCGUAAAGCGCGCGCAGGUGGUUUCUUAAGUCUGAUGUGAAAGCCCACGGCUCAACCGUGGAGGGUCAUUGGAAACUGGGGAACUUGAGUGCAGGAGAGAAGAGUGGAAUUCCACGUGUAGCGGUGAGAUGCGUAGAGAUGUGGAGGAACACCAGUGGCGAAGGCGACUCUUUGGCCUGUAACUGACACUGAGGCGCGAAAGCGUGGGGAGCAAACGGG